rnacentral:rRNA from 1 species
GAAGCAAGAACCAACAGGGAUUGCCUUAGUAACGGCGAGUGAAGCGGCAACAGCUCAAAUUUGAAAUCUGGUACUUUUAGUGCCCGAGUUGUAAUUUGUAGAGGAUGUUUCGGCGUCGGCGCCACCUGAAGUUCCUUGGAACGGGACGUCAAAGAGGGUGAGAGCCCCGUGUAUGGGUGGGUGACUUCGCCAUGUGAAACUCCUUCGACGAGUCGAGUUGUUUGGGAAUGCAGCUCAAAACGGGAGGUAAAUUUCUUCCAAAGCUAAAUACCGGCCAGAGACCGAUAGUGCACAAGUAGAGUGAUCGAAAGAUGAAAAGCACUUUGGAAAGAGAGUUAAACAGCGCGUGAAAUUGUUGAAAGGGAAGCGCUUGCGGUCAGACUUGGCCGCCGUUGCUCGGCGGGGCCUGUGCCCCGUUUGCUCUUCGGCGAUCAGGCCAGCAUCAACUCGAGCGGCUGGAUAAAGGCUGCGGGAAUGUGGCUCUUCGGAGUGUUAUAGCCCGUGGUGUAAUGCUGCCAGUUUGGGUUGAGGUCUGCGCAUCUGCUAGGAUGCUGGCGUAAUGGCCCCAAGCGGCCCGUCUUGAAACACGGACCAAGGAGUCUAACAUUCGUGCGAGUGUUCGGGCGUUAAACCCGUACGCGUAAUGAAAGUGAACGUUGGUGGGAACUUUUGUGCACCAUCGACCGAUCCGGAUGUCUUCGGAUGGAUUUGAGUAUGAGCACGUAUGUUGGGACCCGAAAGAUGGUGAACUAUGCCUAAGCAGGGCGAAGCCAGAGGAAACUCUGGUGGAGGCUCGCAGCGGUUCUGACGUGCAAAUCGAUCGUCAAAUUUGGGUAUAGGGGCGAAAGACUAAUCGAACCAU